GAUGAACGCUGGCGGCGUGCCUAAUACAUGCAAGUCGAGCGAACAGACGAGGAGCUUGCUCCUCUGACGUUAGCCGCGGACGGGUGAGUAACAUGUGUAUAACCUACCUAUAAGACUGGGAUAACUUCGGGAAACCGGAGCUAAUACCGGAUAAUAUAUUGAACCGUAAGGUUCAAUUAUGAAAUGCGGUUUUGCUGUCACUUAUUGAUGGAUCCCGGCCUGAUUAGCUAGUUGGUAAGGUAACGGAUUACCAAGGCGACGAUGCGUAGCCGACCGGGGAGGGUGACCGCCCACACUGGAACUGGGACACGGCCCAGAUUCCAACGGGAGGAGGCAGUAGGGAAUCUUCGGAAAUGGGCGAAAGCCGGACGGAGCAAGGCGGCGGGAGUGAUGAAGGUCUUCGGAUCGUAAAACUCUGUUAUAAGGGAGGAACAAAUGUGUAAGUAACUAUGCACGUCUUGACGGUACCUAAUCAGAAAGCCACGGCUAACUACGUG
rnacentral:rRNA from 1 species